GGAUUUUGUAUAGGAAGAAGAAGAUGAUGAAGAGAAAGGUGUAGAAAUAAGUAAAGCUAAUGCAUGGGAUGAAGAGAGUGGAUAAAGAGGGUGCAUAUAUAUAAUGGAAACGAGGAAGGUGUUGGGAAAUUAGAGUAAUAAUCUAGUUGUAUAAAAUAGUUAAAUUGAAUAAACCAGAUUGGCUUCUAAUAAGGGAUGGAAACUAAGAAACAAAUAUAUAUAUUCGGUGAAACUGGACAAUUUUGUCCGACACUAUCCUCUUCUUUUACUAUUUUCUGUAGUGAUAAGUAUGAUUUGACUUAAUCUCCUGAAUUGUGUGAAAAGGAAU
rnacentral:lncRNA from 1 species